rnacentral:rRNA from 1 species
GGUUAAGCGACUAAGCGUACACGGUGGAUGCCCUGGCAGUCAGAGGCGAUGAAGGACGUGCUAAUCUGCGAUAAGCGUCGGUAAGGUGAUAUGAACCGUUAUAACCGGCGAUUUCCGAAUGGGGAAACCCAGUGUGAUUCGUCACACUAUCAUUAACUGAAUCCAUAGGUUAAUGAGGCGAACCGGGGGAACUGAAACAUCUAAGUACCCCGAGGAAAAGAAAUCAACCGAGAUUCCCCCAGUAGCGGCGAGCGAACGGGGAGGAGCCCAGAGCCUGAAUCAGUGUGUGUGUUAGUGGAAGCGUCUGGAAAGGCGCGCGAUACAGGGUGACAGCCCCGUACACAAAAAUGCACAUACUGUGAGCUCGAUGAGUAGGGCGGGACACGUGGUAUCCUGUCUGAAUAUGGGGGGACCAUCCUCCAAGGCUAAAUACUCCUGACUGACCGAUAGUGAACCAGUACCGUGAGGGAAAGGCGAAAAGAACCCCGGCGAGGGGAGUGAAAAAGAACCUGAAACCGUGUACGUACAAGCAGUGGGAGCACGCUUAGGCGUGUGACUGCGUACCUUUUGUAUAAUGGGUCAGCGACUUAUAUUCUGUAGCAAGGUUAACCGAAUAGGGGAGCCGAAGGGAAACCGAGUCUUAACUGGGCGUUAAGUUGCAGGGUAUAGACCCGAAACCCGGUGAUCUAGCCAUGGGCAGGUUGAAGGUUGGGUAACACUAACUGGAGGACCGAACCGACUAAUGUUGAAAAAUUAGCGGAUGACUUGUGGCUGGGGGUGAAAGGCCAAUCAAACCGGGAGAUAGCUGGUUCUCCCCGAAAGCUAUUUAGGUAGCGCCUCGUGAAUUCAUCUCCGGGGGUAGAGCACUGUUUCGGCAAGGGGGUCAUCCCGACUUACCAACCCGAUGCAAACUGCGAAUACCGGAGAAUGUUAUCACGGGAGACACACGGCGGGUGCUAACGUCCGUCGUGAAGAGGGAAACAACCCAGACCGCCAGCUAAGGUCCCAAAGUCAUGGUUAAGUGGGAAACGAUGUGGGAAGGCCCAGACAGCCAGGAUGUUGGCUUAGAAGCAGCCAUCAUUUAAAGAAAGCGUAAUAGCUCACUGGUCGAGUCGGCCUGCGCGGAAGAUGUAACGGGGCUAAACCAUGCACCGAAGCUGCGGCAGCGACGCUUAUGCGUUGUUGGGUAGGGGAGCGUUCUGUAAGCCUGUGAAGGUGUACUGUGAGGUAUGCUGGAGGUAUCAGAAGUGCGAAUGCUGACAUAAGUAACGAUAAAGCGGGUGAAAAGCCCGCUCGCCGGAAGACCAAGGGUUCCUGUCCAACGUUAAUCGGGGCAGGGUGAGUCGACCCCUAAGGCGAGGCCGAAAGGCGUAGUCGAUGGGAAACAGGUUAAUAUUCCUGUACUUGGUGUUACUGCGAAGGGGGGACGGAGAAGGCUAUGUUGGCCGGGCGACGGUUGUCCCGGUUUAAGCGUGUAGGCUGGUUUUCCAGGCAAAUCCGGAAAACUAAGGCUGAGGCGUGAUGACGAGGCACUACGGUGCUGAAGCAACAAAUGCCCUGCUUCCAGGAAAAGCCUCUAAGCAUCAGGUAACAUCAAAUCGUACCCCAAACCGACACAGGUGGUCAGGUAGAGAAUACCAAGGCGCUUGAGAGAACUCGGGUGAAGGAACUAGGCAAAAUGGUGCCGUAACUUCGGGAGAAGGCACGCUGAUAUGUAGGUGAAGUCCCUCGCGGAUGGAGCUGAAAUCAGUCGAAGAUACCAGCUGGCUGCAACUGUUUAUUAAAAACACAGCACUGUGCAAACACGAAAGUGGACGUAUACGGUGUGACGCCUGCCCGGUGCCGGAAGGUUAAUUGAUGGGGUUAGCGCAAGCGAAGCUCUUGAUCGAAGCCCCGGUAAACGGCGGCCGUAACUAUAACGGUCCUAAGGUAGCGAAAUUCCUUGUCGGGUAAGUUCCGACCUGCACGAAUGGCGUAAUGAUGGCCAGGCUGUCUCCACCCGAGACUCAGUGAAAUUGAACUCGCUGUGAAGAUGCAGUGUACCCGCGGCAAGACGGAAAGACCCCGUGAACCUUUACUAUAGCUUGACACUGAACAUUGAGCCUUGAUGUGUAGGAUAGGUGGGAGGCUUUGAAGUGUGGACGCCAGUCUGCAUGGAGCCGACCUUGAAAUACCACCCUUUAAUGUUUGAUGUUCUAACGUUGACCCGUAAUCCGGGUUGCGGACAGUGUCUGGUGGGUAGUUUGACUGGGGCGGUCUCCUCCUAAAGAGUAACGGAGGAGCACGAAGGUUGGCUAAUCCUGGUCGGACAUCAGGAGGUUAGUGCAAUGGCAUAAGCCAGCUUGACUGCGAGCGUGACGGCGCGAGCAGGUGCGAAAGCAGGUCAUAGUGAUCCGGUGGUUCUGAAUGGAAGGGCCAUCGCUCAACGGAUAAAAGGUACUCCGGGGAUAACAGGCUGAUACCGCCCAAGAGUUCAUAUCGACGGCGGUGUUUGGCACCUCGAUGUCGGCUCAUCACAUCCUGGGGCUGAAGUAGGUCCCAAGGGUAUGGCUGUUCGCCAUUUAAAGUGGUACGCGAGCUGGGUUUAGAACGUCGUGAGACAGUUCGGUCCCUAUCUGCCGUGGGCGCUGGAGAACUGAGGGGGGCUGCUCCUAGUACGAGAGGACCGGAGUGGACGCAUCACUGGUGUUCGGGUUGUCAUGCCAAUGGCACUGCCCGGUAGCUAAAUGCGGAAGAGAUAAGUGCUGAAAGCAUCUAAGCACGAAACUUGCCCCGAGAUGAGUUCUCCCUGACUCCUUGAGAGUCCUGAAGGAACGUUGAAGACGACGACGUUGAUAGGCCGGGUGUGUAAGCGCAGCGAUGCGUUGAGCUAACCGGUACUAAUGAACCGUGAGGCUUAACCUU